UGCCCGGUGAUGACACCAUCCUUGCUCCCCGUGCCCCCAGGGGCUGUGGGCGACACCUUGGCUGCCCCUGGGCUGGGCCGGUUGGGCCAGUGUCCAGGGGCUGAGGGCA
ensembl:snoRNA